rnacentral:lncRNA from 1 species
UCUUGAUUGAUCAUGUAAGCGCAAAAAUAAUACGUAGUACCUUGGCAACUACCAACAACACAUUAAUAAUAUGGAUGUUUAACACACUACCUCUCCUAGAUGCACCUUCCCUGGACCUGAACACCACUCAUGAAGGAGGUCGUGCUUGCAACAUACAGGGGGAAACCAGAGGGAGGGAAAGAUAGAGAGGAGAGUUGCUCCACAGCAAUGGCGUACUGGAAGACCUCGUCUGCGGGUCGCAGGGAGACGCGAAUACCUAGUCGGGGAGAUCGAGGGAGGUGAGGUGGACGACGGAGCCGUCGCGGGCGACCUCAUGGACGAUGAAGUCGGAGUACCAGUGCUUGAGUCUCGUCCGCCUCCGGCCGCCAUCGGCAAGCAGAGCCGCCGUCCGUGCGCUGAGUCGAUCUCCCGAGUUAGUCCCGUCCACCUCGGGCCGCCACCAGCAAGCAGAGCCGCCGUCCGUGCGCUCCGGCCGCGGCCGCCACCGGCAAGCAGAGCCGCCGUCCGUGCGCUAUCCGUCCCGUCCGCCUCGGGUCGCCACCGGCAAGCAGAGCCGCCGUCCGUGCGCUCCGGCUGCGGGUUUU